rnacentral:rRNA from 1 species
AACGAACGCUGGCGGCAGGCCUAACACAUGCAAGUCGAACGCCCUCUUCGGAGGGAGUGGCAGACGGGUGAGUAACGCGUGGGAAUCUACCUAGUGGUGGAGGAUAACUUCGGGAAACCGGAGCUAAUACUCCAUAAGCCCUUCGGGGGAAAGUUUUUUCGCCAUUAGAUGAGCCCGCGUUAGAUUAGCUUGUUGGUAGGGUAAUGGCCUACCAAGGCGACGAUCUAUAGCUGGUCUGAGAGGAUGAUCAGCCACACUGGAACUGAGACACGGUCCAG